rnacentral:rRNA from 1 species
UACAGAGGUCUCAAGCGUUGUUCGGAUUCAUUGGGCGUAAAGGGUGCGUAGGCGGCGCCGUAAGUCAGGUGUGAAAUUUCGGAGCUUAACUCCGAAACUGCAUUUGAUACUGCGGUGCUUGAGGACUGGAGAGGAGACUGGAAUUUACGGUGUAGCAGUGAAAUGCGUAGAGAUCGUAAGGAAGACCAGUGGCGAAAGCGAGUCUCUGGCUAAAUGCUGACGCUGAGGCACGAAAGCUGGGGGAGCAAACGGG